AAACGGUUUGUUGAAGUCUACUGAGGUACAAGUGAUGAUAAAUAUAAAUUAUAGUUAAUAUACUGCACCAGUGGUUGUUGAAUAAAUCAAAUGCUUCUGCUGACACAGAAGACUUCUGCAGCGGCAGCCCUUCACAGAUGCACGCCACAAAAUGCACAACGCCCACAAACAACACUUCACUUUCACAACUCUGAGAGCACACAUGAAGCCCUCUUGUGGUCACUCUGGAGAACAGCACAUGAAAGUCUCGUCCUGAAUUCUUGAUCCACAUGAUGACUCAAGGAGUUUCCCUGAUCUCUCCUGCUCGAGAUUAUUCCCCUGAAACUGAUGUGUGACGGUGAUUCAUACAGAGAACUUGAAAAUUAUAAAUGCCUCUGAUAAAUGAAACCAUCUUGGCUUUUGUGGAGUCCCGAAGCCGCUAUUUGGGCGAGUUUUCUGAGAAGCAGUUACAAUGUGAUAGUGACAAGAAAUGGCUGUAACGAUAACAAGAAGUUAUUUGAAUCAAUAUCUGACUGUGGUGUCAAAUAAUAAUUCUGAAUCAGUUCAAUUCAAAUGAAUUCACCUUCC